rnacentral:rRNA from 1 species
GCAAGUCGAACGAACAGCGAUGGAGCUUGCUUCAUCAAUGUGAGUGGCGGACGGGUGAGUAACACGUGGGAAACCUAACCUAUAGCGGGGGAUAACAUUCGGAAACGGAUGCUAAUACCGCAUAGGGCAUUGAAUCGCAUGAUUCGAUGAGGAAAGAUGGCACUGCUAUCGCUAGAGGAUGGUCCCGCGGUGCAUUAGCUAGUUGGUGAGGUAACGGCUUACCAAGGCCAUGAUGCAUAGCCGACCUGAGAGGGUAAUC